UACAGAGGUCUCAAGCGUUGAUCGGAUUCAUUGGGCGUAAAGGGUGCGUAGGCGGCGCGGUAAGUCGGGUGUGAAAUCUCGGAGCUUAACUCCGAAACUGCAUUCGAUACUGCCGUGCUUGAGGACUGGAGAGGAGACUGGAAUUUACGGUGUAGCGGUGAAAUGCGUAGAUAUCGUAAGGAAGACCAGUGGCGAAGGCGGGUCUCUGGACAGUUCCUGACGCUGAGGCACGAAGGCCAGGGGAGCAAACGGG
rnacentral:rRNA from 1 species